rnacentral:tRNA from 1 species
AGGGGCGUCGCCAAGCGGUAAGGCAACAGACUUUGACUCUGUCAUUCGUAGGUUCAAAUCCUGCCGCCCCUGCCA